rnacentral:rRNA from 1 species
CGAUCUGUGCAUGCAGCAUAUCAAUAAGCGGAGGAAAAGAAACUAACAAGGAUUCCCCUAGUAACGGCGAGUGAAGCGGGAAGAGCUCAAAUUUGAAAUCUUAAAGGGUUUUCCCUUCAUGAAUUGUAGUUUAAAGAAGUGUUUUUCUGUUGAGGUUUUUGGUAAAAGUUCUUUGGAAUAGGACAUCAUAGAGGGUGAGAAUCCCGUAUUUGACCUUUACUUUCAACUUUGUGAUACACUUUCAAAGAGUCGGAUUGUUUUGGGAAUGCAGUCCCAAAAUGGGUGGUAAAUUUCAUCUAAAGCUAAAUAUUGGCGAGAGACCGAUAGCGAACAAGUACCGUGAGGGAAAGAUGAAAAGAACUUUGAAAAGAGAGUUAAACAGUACGUGAAAAUUGUCAAAAGGGAAGCGUUUUGACACCAGUGUUGUUUUUUCUGAAAAUCAAUUAAAGAAACUGUUUUAUGCUAAGUUGUUUAGACUUUAUCAGCUAUCUGCUUUAGUUUUUGAGCUUUUCUUUAAUGCACUUUUCAGUUAACAAGUCAACAUCAAUUUCUUUUGCUGUAAAAAAAGCUUGAGGAAGGUGGCUUGAGAUUCGUCUUAAGUGUUUUAUAGCCUCUUGCCUAUGCAGUCGGAGAGAUUGAGGUCUGCAGCGUAGAUCCUUCGGGGCUAAAUGCAUUUGUGCUAAGUUAUAAGCAUUUUAUAGACAACUUGUUGACUAUGAUUUGUCUUGUAGCUUACUCGCUUAUGUUAUUUUACCUACGCUUAGGAUGUUGAGCGCAUGUCUCUCUCU